rnacentral:rRNA from 1 species
CCUGGUUGAUCCUGCCAGUAGUUAUAUGCUUGUCUCAAAGCUUAAGCCAUGCAAGUCUCAGUACGAGCUGACUUAAAGUGAAACCGCAAAAGGCUCAGUAAACCGGUCAUAGUUUACCGGAUAUAUGCCACUCACGUGGAUAACUGUGGUAAUUCUAGAGCUAAUACAUGCAACCAAGUCCCGACCAGCGAUGGAAAGGACGCUUUUAUUGGAUCAAAACCAUUCGCCCGGCUCGCCCGGGCGUCUGCUUGAUGACUCUAGAUAACACCACAGAUCGCACGGUCACAGUACCGGCGACGUAUCCGUCAAAUGUCUGACUUAUCAGCUGUCGAUGGUAGACUCUGUGUCUACCAUGGCGCUCACGGGUAACGGGGAAUCAGGGUUCGAUUCCGGAGAGGGAGCCUGAGAAACGGCUACCACAUCCAAGGAAGGCAGCAGGCACGCAAAUUACCCACUCCCGGCACGGGGAGGUAGUGACAAAAAAAAUAACGAUACGGGACUCAUCCGAGGCCCCGUAAUCGAAUGAGAACACCCUAAAUCCUUUAACGAGGAUCUAUUGGAGGGCAAGUCUGGUGCCAGCAGCCGCGGUAAUUCCAGCUCCAAUAGCGUAUAUUAAAGUUGUUGCGGUUAAAAAGCUCGUAGUUGGUUCUGCGUGCCACGCUGUCGGUUCACCGCCUGUCGGUGCAACUGGCAUGCCGUGGCAUGUCCUGUCGGUGGCCGACGGGCUUCGCGGCGCGCCCCACUCGCUCACGCGUGUGGGUCGACGCGCCGUGUCGUCCUCGUUGGCCGGCUCAAUCCUACCGCGGUGCUCUUAAACGAGUGUCGAGGUAGGCCGACACUGUUUACUUUGAACAAAUAGAGUGCUUCAAGCAGGCUCUGAAAGCAGCCUGAAUAGUGGUGCAUGGAAUAAUGGAACAGGACCUUGGUUCUAUUUUGUUGGUUUCCGGAAUCCAAGGUAAUGAUCAAUAAGGACAGGCGGGGGCAUUCGUAUUGCGACGUUAGAGGGGAAAUUCUUGGAUCGUCGCAAGACGCACUAGAGCGAAAGCAUUUGCCAAGUAUGUCUUAAUUGAUCAAGAACGAAAGUUAGAGGUUCGAAUUCCAUGCACCACUA